GUCAGAGAGCUUGCUCUCGAAGCUUAGCGGCGAACGGUCGCGUAACACGUAAGCAACCUGCCCUGAAGUUGGGGAUAGCCCUCCGAAAGGAGGAUUAAUACCGAAUGUGGACAUUUGGCGACAUCGCUGAAUGUCUAAAGUGGUAACACGCUUCAGGAUGGGCUUGCGGCCUAUCAGCUAGUUGGUGGGGUAACGGCCUACCAAGGCGACGACGGGUAGCUGGUCUGAGAGGAUGGUCAGCCGGACUGGGACUGAGAUACGGCCCAGACUCCUACGGGGGGCAGCAAUUAGGAAUCUUGCGCAAUGGGCGAAAGCCUGACGCAGCGACGCCGCGUGACUGAUGAAGUUCUUCGGAAUGUAAAGGUCUUUUCUGAGGGAAGAAGAAUGUGACGGUACCUCAGGAAUAAGCUCCGGCUAACUACGUGCCAGCAGCCGCGGUAAUACGUAGGGAGCAAGCGUUGUCCGAAUUCACUGGGCGUAAAGCGCGCGUAGGCGGGUUUUUAAGUUGGUGGUGAAAUCCCGAGGCUCAACCUCGGAACUGCCUCCAAAACUGGGAACCUUGAGGUAUGGAGGGGGAAGUGGAAUUCCAGGUGUAGCGGUGAAAUGCGUAGAUAUCUGGAGGAACACCCGUGGCGAAGGCGGCUUCCUGGCCAUAUCCUGACGCUGAGGUGCGAAAGCUAGGGUAGCGAACGGGAUUAGAUACCCCGGUAGUCCUAGCCGUAAACGAUGGAUACUAGGUGUUAGAGGUAUCGACCCCUCUAGUGCCGAAGCUAACGCAUUAAGUAUCCCGCCUGGGGA
rnacentral:rRNA from 1 species